CGGGACUGACGGGGCUCGAACCCGCAGCUCCG
rnacentral:tRNA from 4 species